GGCCUGGUGGUCUAGUAGUAUGAUUCCUUCUUAGGGCUGUUGAACUCAACACAAUUUGGAGGAGGUCCCGGGUUCAAUUCCCGGCCAGGCCC